AACUCGCCUACAUGAAGUUGGAAUCGCUAGUAAUCGCGAAUCAGAAUGUCGCGGUGAAUACGUUCCCGGGUCCUGUACACACCGCCCGUCACACCACGAGAGUUUACAACACCCGAAGUCAGUGGCCUAACCGCAAGGAGGGAGCUGCCUAAGGUGGGGUAGAUGAUUGGGGUGAAGUCGUAACAAGGUAUC
rnacentral:rRNA from 1 species